rnacentral:rRNA from 1 species
UACAGAGGGGGCAAGCGUUGUUCGGAAUUACUGGGCGUAAAGGGCGCGUAGGCGGCCUGCUAAGUCGAACGUGAAAUCCCCGGGCUCAACCCGGGAACUGCGUCCGAUACUGGCAGGCUUGAAUCCGGGAGAGGGAUGCGGAAUUCCAGGUGUAGCGGUGAAAUGCGUAGAUAUCUGGAGGAACACCGAUGGCGAAGGCAGGUCUCUGGGCAUUAACUGACGCUGAGGAGCGAAAGCAUGGGGAGCGAACAGG